rnacentral:lncRNA from 1 species
AUUUUCUGGAUAUGCUAAACUAACCCUAAGCACAAGAAUAUAGCACGAAAUAGACAGCAAGAAAAAUAUAGGAGAAACAGAAAUCCCAAAAACAUGGGCGAGAAGCAUAUGCAUCAAAUAAAGAAGUAACUGGGUGCUCACUGGAGAAGCAGAGAACGCCGCCAUGGCUUCUGCUUAUUCUGGGGGAAGACGAAAGCAGGUGAGGGGAGGUGGAAAGAAUCCUGAGCGUUUUGGGGGAUGAUGAAGGUAAUUUCUCAGUGAAAGAGAAGAAGGUGGUAUUGCUGAAGAGACAGAGUUUAGACAUGGAGGAAGUUGCCGUCUCUAAAGCCGAUAAACUGCUCAUUCUUAGCCUCUUAUCCGCUACUCCGCUGCUCUGCUUGAACGAGACAGACGAAGAAAAGAAGAAAGAUAGCGGCGAAUGCUGAGGGAGGUUCAGCCUUGAAUUAGUAGUUCCAACCGGCGCCGUUUUAAUUGAGUUUUAAACAACCCCGUUA